GCGUUCAUAGCUCAGUUGGUUAGAGCACCACCUUGACAUAGUGGGGGUCGUUGGUUCGAGUCCAAUUGAACGCACCA
rnacentral:tRNA from 2 species